rnacentral:rRNA from 2 species
UGCAAGUCGAACGAGCUUCCGUUGAAUGACGUGCUUGCACUGAUUUCAACAAUGAAGCGAGUGGCGAACUGGUGAGUAACACGUGGGAAAUCUGCCCAGAAGCAGGGGAUAACACUUGGAAACAGGUGCUAAUACCGUAUAACAACAAAAUCCGCAUGGAUUUUGUUUGAAAGGUGGCUUCGGCUAUCACUUCUGGAUGAUCCCGCGGCGUAUUAGUUAGUUGGUGAGGUAAAGGCCCACCAAGACGAUGAUACGUAGCCGACCUGAGAGGGUAAUCGGCCACAUUGGGACUGAGACACGGCCCAAACUCCUACGGGAGGCAGCAGUAGGGAAUCUUCCACAAUGGACGAAAGUCUGAUGGAGCAAUGCCGCGUGAGUGAAGAAGGGUUUCGGCUCGUAAAACUCUGUUGUUAAAGAAGAACACCUUUGAGAGUAACUGUUCAAGGGUUGACGGUAUUUAACCAGAAAGCCACGGCUAACUACGUGCCAGCAGCCGCGGUAAUACGUAGGUGGCAAGCGUUGUCCGGAUUUAUUGGGCGUAAAGCGAGCGCAGGCGGUUUUUUAAGUCUGAUGUGAAAGCCUUCGGCUUAACCGGAGAAGUGCAUCGGAAACUGGGAGACUUGAGUGCAGAAGAGGACAGUGGAACUCCAUGUGUAGCGGUGGAAUGCGUAGAUAUAUGGAAGAACACCAGUGGCGAAGGCGGCUGUCUAGUCUGUAACUGACGCUGAGGCUCGAAAGCAUGGGUAGCGAACAGGAUUAGAUACCCUGGUAGUCCAUGCCGUAAACGAUGAGUGCUAAGUGUUGGAGGGUUUCCGCCCUUCAGUGCUGCAGCUAACGCAUUAAGCACUCCGCCUGGGGAGUACGACCGCAAGGUUGAAACUCAAAGGAAUUGACGGGGGCCCGCACAAGCGGUGGAGCAUGUGGUUUAAUUCGAAGCUACGCGAAGAACCUUACCAGGUCUUGACAUCUUCUGCCAAUCUUAGAGAUAAGACGUUCCCUUCGGGGACAGAAUGACAGGUGGUGCAUGGUUGUCGUCAGCUCGUGUCGUGAGAUGUUGGGUUAAGUCCCGCAA